UACGGGAAGGCAGCAGUGGGGAAUAUUGCACAAUGGGCGAAAGCCUGAUGCAGCUAUGCCGCGUGUAUGAAGAAGGCCUUAGGGUUGUAAAGUACUUUCAUCGGGGAGGAAAAACAAAACUAAUAAUUUUAUUUCUUGACGUUACCCGAAAAAGAAGCACCGGCUAACUCCGUGCCAGCAGCCGCGGUAAUACGGAGGGUGCUAGCGUUAAUCAGAAUUACUGGGCGUAAAGAGCACGUAGGUGGUUUUUUUAAGUCAGAUGUGAAAUCCCUGGGCUUAACCUAGGAACUGCAUUUUGAAACUGAAAUACUAGAGUAUCGUAGAGGGAGGUAGAAUUCUAGGUGUAGCGGUGAAAUGCGUAGAUAUCUGGAGGAAUACCUGUGGCGAAAGCGGCCUCCUAAACGAAUACUGACACUGA
rnacentral:rRNA from 1 species